rnacentral:rRNA from 1 species
CCUACGGGAGACAGCAGUAGGGAAUCUUUCACAAUGGGCGAAAGCCUGAUGGAGCAACGCCGCGUGCAGGAUGAAGGCCUUCGGGUUGUAAACUGCUUUUAUAAGCGAGAAAUAUGAUGGUAACUUAUGAAUAAGGAUCGGCUAACUACGUGCCAGCAGCCGCGGUCAUACGUAGGAUCCGAGCAUUAUCCGGAGUGACUGGGUGUAAAGAGUUGCGUAGGUGGCAUAAUAAGUAGCUAGUGUAAUCUGGUGGCUCAACCAUUCAGACUAUUAGCUAAACUGUUAAGCUCGAGACCGUUAGGGGUAACUGGAAUUUCUAGUGUAGGAGUGAAAUCCGUAGAUAUUAGAAGGAACACCAAUAGCGUAGGCAGGUUGCUGGGACGGUUCUGACACUAAGGCACGAAAGCGUAGGGAGCAAACAGGAUUAGAUACCCUUGUAGUC